UACGAAGGUGGCAAGCGUUGUUCGGAUUUACUGGGCGUACAGGGAGCGUAGGCGGUUGGGUAAGCCCUCCGUGAAAUCUCCGGGCCUAACCCGGAAAGGGCGGAGGGGACUGCUCGGCUAGAGGAUGGGAGAGGAGCGCGGAAUUCCCGGUGUAGCGGUGAAAUGCGUAGAGAUCGGGAGGAAGGCCGGUGGCGAAGGCGGCGCUCUGGAACAUUUCUGACGCUGAGGCUCGAAGCGUGGGAGGCAAACAGG
rnacentral:rRNA from 1 species